rnacentral:rRNA from 1 species
GAGUUUGAUCUUGGCUCAGAUUGAACGCUGGCGGCAGGCCUAACACAUGCAAGUCGAGCGGUAGAGAGAAGCUUGCUUCUCUUGAGAGGCGGCGGACGGGUGAGUAAUGCCUAGGAAUCUGCCUGGUAGUGGGGGAUAACGCUCGGAAACGGACGCUAAUACCGCAUACGUCCUACGGGAGAAAGCAGGGGACCUUCGGGCCUUGCGCUAUCAGAUGAGCCUAGGUCGGAUUAGCUAGUUGGUGAGGUAAUGGCUCACCAAGGCGACGAUCCGUAACUGGUCUGAGAGGAUGAUCAGUCACACUGGAACUGAGACACGGUCCAGACUCUACGGAGGCAGCAGUGGGGAAUAGUUGGACAAUGGGCGAAAGCCUGAUCCAGCCAUGCCGCGUGUGUGAAGAAGGUCUUCGGAUUGUAAAGCACUUUAAGUGGAGAA